rnacentral:misc_RNA from 1 species
CCGAGUUUACAACUCCCAAACCCCCUGUGAACCUAUACCUCACACCGUUGCUUCGGCGGGCUCUCCCCUCGCCCCGGGACAGGAAUGCCCCGGGAACAGGCGCCCGCCGGGGGACCCAAACUCUUGUAUCUUGCCCUAUGGAAUGUCUGAGUGGAAUCAUUACAGAAUGAAUCA